rnacentral:rRNA from 1 species
CCUACGGGAGGCAGCAGUGGGGAAUUUUGGACAAUGGGCGCAAGCCUGAUCCAGCAAUGCCGCGUGAGUGAAGAAGGCCUUCGGGUUGUAAAGCUCUUUUGUCAGGGAAGAAACGGUCUACUCUAAUACAGUGGGCUAAUGACGGUACCUGAAGAAUAAGCACCGGCUAACUACGUGCCAGCAGCCGCGGUAAUACGUAGGGUGCAAGCGUUAAUCGGAAUUACUGGGCGUAAAGCGUGCGCAGGCGGUUAUAUAAGUCAGAUGUGAAAUCCCCGGGCUCAACCUGGGAACUGCAUUUGAGACUGUAUGGCUAGAGUGUGUCAGAGGGGGGUAGAAUUCCACGUGUAGCAGUGAAAUGCGUAGAUAUGUGGAGGAAUACCGAUGGCGAAGGCAGCCCCCUGGGAUAACACUGACGCUCAUGCACGAAAGCGUGGGGAGCAAACAGGAUUAGAUACCCUGGUAGUCCACGCCCUAAACGAUGUCUACUAGUUGUCGGGACUUAAUUGUCUUGGUAACGCAGCUAACGCGUGAAGUAGACCGCCUGGGGAAGUCGGUGCAAGNUUAAACUUANAAGAUUGNGNNGNGNGNGCGAGCGACGACGAGGGAGGAGG